CACGGAUAUAUUUAGAUGUUACGAAUCGCAACUCUUUUGGUUUUUUUCAUUAUAAAGACAUUGUAAUGGAUAGUGUAGUUUGUUUCGUUGUCGUUACAUUCUUAGCUUCAACCGUAGCUGGUCAUACGACACCUCGCGUGUUAAACCAUGCCAAAAGGGCUGGAUGUUUAACGACGGUUCCUGCUACGUUUUCAACAACAAGGAUAAGAAGUUUUUCGUGGCCGCUGAGAUAUAUGAAGAGCUACUUGCUGCAGUAGAGAUAAUUUUUCAAACAAAAGAACGUUUUUUGAAUUUGAAGGAUAUAUUUAUCCCGACUAAUUGGUAAUAAUUUG